UACGUAGGGUGCGAGCGUUGUCCGGAAUUACUGGCGUAAAGAGCUCGUAGGCGGCCCUCCACGUCGGAUGUGAAAGCUCAGGGCUCAACCCUGGGAUGCCAUUCGAUACGGGAAGGCUAGAGGUAGGUAGGGGAAGUGGAAUCCUGGUGUAGCGGUGAAAUGCGCAGAUAUCAGGAGGAACACCAGCGGCGAAGGCGGCGCUCUGGGCCGGUACUGACACUGAGGAGCGAAGGCGUGGGGAGCGAACAGG
rnacentral:rRNA from 1 species